CUUAUAGACAAUGACUUCAUCCGGUUUGUGUUAAGCAACACAUAGGUCUGGAUAGUUUUUUUCGUUCAACCAAAUCGCCACAAUUCUAUCUUUUUCUUCUGCUGAGCCAAUAACAUGCUUACAUUUGAAGUCUUCAGCUACUUCCUUGUACUCUUCCAUUGACAGCUCCUCCUGACUCCCUUUUAAAUCUUUUGUUAUAAGAAGUGAAGAAACAUUGAUCAAGGUAUAGUCCAAUUUCAGGGUACAGCUAUUCUCUCAUCCCUAGCACAUAGAGUCCUCACAUCAGUUUGCCUCACACAAAUCUAUAUGCAGAGACAAAGCUUAAGCUUACCUGUUGAAAGAGGUUUGGAUCAGUGAUUCAGGUGUAUAGUUCCUCAUGAAUGCAACAGAAACUCCAAUCAUUUUCCUCAUCUGAUGAAGCAUAAAGCUAUGUCCAACAACUUCACAGUUGACAAAGUCUUCUCCCUCGAGAGUGAUCAUUGUAUUGGCAUCGAAGGAGAGAAUGUAGUGAUUCAAAGUUGGGUCUGCUGCUUUGGUUUGUGGUGGUUGUGGAAGUUAUGUGAACCAACAUACAUAAUAGCUUAGGAUUCUGAUAAACAUUUAUUUUUCCUUCUCUGCAUAACAGAACUUGCUCAGAGUCUCACACUUUAAUGCAUCACAUUUUAUUUCGAACCAGACAAGAACCCUAGAGGCUAGAACUAGAAUCAAAGGAGACAUACCUCCACGACGAAGUAUAGUGAUCAAACAGCAGUUAGUUAGUGAGGCUUGAAAGCUCUGUAACAUGAUUGAUAUUCGCCCUUCAACUAAUGCGCCAAAUAUUUGGGCCUUUGAAGCCCAUAUAUUGUUCAAACAAUUGGCACCUAAGCUAAUAGGUUACCGUUGGCCACCCAUUUUGAGUACCAUUUAUUUUUCCUUGUUUUUUGUAUCCUAAACUCUUCUUUUUACGUAGACGUAGGAUAUAUAAAUGACAAUUACUUUUGCAUCUUUCAUAAUGAACUGAGAUGUGAUAAACCAUGUGAGCAUCUAUCUACCUACUCCAUAUUUCAGAAAGUCUCUUUUUUUUGGGAGGUGAGACGUCUAUAAAAGUAGCUCUUCAGAAAUAUUCCAUUUGUGACAUCCGUGAUCUGGCUUCAGAAGAGUUUUUUUUUUUGAUCGAAAACUUCAGAAGAGUUAUUCAUCAUCAUUCAUGAUCCCUUGAUCCCAAUGGGUAUAAAAUGUAAAUCUUGUAAAUUUUCAGUAUGAAAAAUAAAAUGAUAAGAGCUUAGGUUUUAAACUUCUAAGAAUCAGUGUGCUAGACAAUAUAUCAUGAUCAGAUUCUAGAGGUUUAUCGCCAUUGAAGAUUGUCUAAAUUGCUUAGGGUUUCGAACUAAGAAAGAGAUAUGUCAAUAUUUCUUUUCCUUUUUCUUUUUGGUGUAAAUUCUAAUUCUACUAUAUUUUUCAAGUUACAUAAGAAGGAGAUCAACAAAUACAUAUAAGCUUUGUAAAACCUCAUUUCUAUCGUUUUGAGUAGUUUGGAAACUUUGGAUAUAUAAAAUAAUAAUGAGUAACUGUAACCCAAUUAAAAUACUAAUGUACAAGCGUAUGAGAAUGUUAAUCCCUUUUUCGGUAAAUAGUAUUAUUUGUGAGUGGAAUUUAUGUCAGUUGCGUUUAAUCUUUGAGAAAUUCAUCUCUGACCCAAGACACACAAGUCCUAACCGGACUUAGUUGAAUCAAACAAAGUCUUAAGUAAGGAGGAAUUUCCCAAAGUUGAAAUUGCCUUUAUGUAAUUUACUCUUAAAGGCAUCGCAUCGCAUGGUAUCUACGUUAUUAAGUGCAGUGGUACAGUUACAAUUUUUUGAGCGUUCAAACCCAACCACACAUUCUAUAUAAUUCUUUUUCAGGUUACAAAACAUUAUUUAGCUUUAUGUGCAUCAUAUUGGCCAGUCCUGAUUGAACCAUUUGAAUUUGGUUGGACGCAGGGGCGGAGGUAGUGAAGGAGAAGUGGGGUCAGCUGACCCCACUAUUUUUUUAAAUAUAUUUGUUUUUGUUUAAGAAAAAAAAUUAUUGACCCCAUUAAAAUAUAUAAUUUGACCCCACAAAAUAUAUAAUCCUACUAAAAUAAUUAUAAUACAUUAAAAAUUAAAGUUAUAAUUUGUAGCUUUUAAUGAUUUAUAAAUUAUGUUUUUGAAAAAAAAAAUUAUGAUCCCGGUAUAAAAAAUUUCUGGCUCUGCCACUGGUUGGACGUUUUGUAUAAGUGUUCACUUAACUACUGAAUAAAUUUUCAAGAAUUUUAGGCUAAAGAAAAACAUAGGUCUAAGAGUCUAAGACUUUGAAUACUGUUUAUCUACUCUAGUACACUGACACUCGUCGUUAAACCACAAUCAGUUAAUGAAAUCUUAAGAAAUGAACGCAUAACCAGGAGUGAAGGAAGGAUACCCGAAAGUAAGUGAUGUGAAUAUUAUAUAGUCAUGGGACUUCAUGAUUCAUUUUUCAAUUAUAUAACAAAAAGCCGAUAUUUUGUGACAUCUUAUCACUUGUCGACGUUCGACCAAACCCAACACUGUCUUUUCCAUUCUUUAUCUUCUUCAUUUUCUCUUGUUCGUUUCUGCACUCAUUAUCUUAAAUUUUUAUUUUAAGGAUUAAUUUGGAUUUAAGAUUUCAGUAAUACUCUACAACGGUAUAAAGAACAGCCUAUAUAAGACAUUCACCAUCAUGUGAAAUGUUGCUCCUUUUCUCAAAUAAAUAAAAGAAAUGCUGCCCAAAGAGAUUUUCAAUCAUGGAUUCUCACGUAGAUCUUCCCAAUAAAAUGGAAAUUCAAUUAUUCGUCUUUUAAAAAUAUGAUUAAUCACACCCAUACUAAGCAUUAAAGCAUACGAUAAAUAUAACUUUUGGAGUAAAUAUUCAUUUUUAAGAAGAAUAAUUGAGUAAAAAUAUUUUGCAUAUAUUUCUGAUUUUUCUAGCUAUGUUGUAUUCACUCUAAAAAGCACAUUUUACGAAAGCUCUUUCUAUUAAAAAAAAAAAAGACAAGAAGUGAGAGAACCAGAAUAUUUUUUGGUGUAAAUGUUAAAAAUUAGAGAACAUAGAUAGUUUCUCGUUUGAAACUCAAAAUAAAUUGUGAGAAAGCUACUUACUUGUCAUAUUGUAAUUAGUUUUGAUUUUUUUUAAAAAAAUUUAAUUUUAGUUAUUGAGAAGAGCUCUAUCGAUGUUGAUGUUCUAAGAAGCUUGUGAUCCAGACCCGAACAAACUUAUUAUUUAUUUUCAUAAAAAUAUUGGAUGUUUUCAUAUAUAUUCAACUGGAAUUUUUGAGCAAGGCAACUUAUGACCUAUAAGUGAGGUCGUAAUAAAUUAAUAAUGUAACUAUGUAAGUAUAAUAAGUAUACAAAAUCGUAAUCAAACCUUUGGUUCAUAGAUUUUUUAAUUAAUACACCUGAUAAUUCUAGUAAAUGGCGAUAAUGAUGAUGGUAUAUGCAUGAGAGAGUGUCUACGCAUGCAUAAUGGAAAAGGUUCCAAAGAAAGGAAUAAAUUCGCCAAAACAUAAUUAUGAUUUGUGCGGGUGACUUGAAAAUGUUUUCUUUAUUAGUAAAUCAAUUUUCAGUCUUUCACCAACCUUUCAAGGACAAGAACCACACAUAUUGAAAAUAUUAUACAAAUGUUGAAAUGUAUACACCACAUGACACAUGUAGAAGGGUUACAAAUGUUGGCAUAAGAAAAAGAUUAUGCAAACAGGUUUUACGUUUUUCUAGUAUGUACAUGGCCAUCUCUGUUUUCUUACUUGCUCAAGUUAUAAAUAUAAAACAUUUUCACAUACACUUUAAUUGUUAAGGUAAAAUCACUAUAGUACAGAUUUUGAAAUACAAUGGCCUGUAAUGAUCUGGAAAGCAGAAAUUUGAAAACAUUUAUUAAAUGAUUUAAUCAUACAUUCACUGACAUCAUCACAAUCCGACAAACCCGAUGUUUCAGUUUUUACUUUCAUUAUCAUUGAAUGCAAAUAAAUACGAAACCCAUUUCAUGGGAGAGCUUGGUUGAAUUCACAGAUUUCUUCAUUUAAUAAAAAUAUGAAAAAACAAAUAAAAGACAGAUGUGAUGACAAAAAAUAAAAUAAAACUAGACCAAAAGAAUAAAAUAAUAGAUGCAACAGUUCGAGGAAUAUAAUAAGAAAAACGUUGUUACACAUUCGUAACGUACCCCAUUCCUCAGUAUAAAAAGUCUAGGAAGAAUUUUUUUUGAAAAUGUAAUUUUAAUACUACGAUUAAGUGGCUUGGUGGCUAAAAAAGUGGAUGGGGUAGAUUUUGAGGCAAUAAAUACUGAGGAGUACUAUUAUUAUGAGUUGGUGCAGUUAAUACCUUGAAGAGUGCUUCUAUUAUUCAUACGGAUGGAUUUAUAGCAAUGCUAACUCCUUUUUAUUGGAGUUUGUUCCUUUAUUCACUCGAAACUAAAGAAAAAAUUUAGUGUGAAAAUUCUUUAUACACAAAAGUAGGGAUUUCGUCGAAGCAAAAUUGUAAAAAGGUUGUUAUGAAGGUCGUGGGAUCGAGUGAUGCGUGCGACAUAUCAAUCUAUGGUAGGGAAAGAUGUUGAAUUCCCAUUAUAUACUGUACUCUUCCAAAAUACAUUUAUAUCCAAAAAUAUAUAAUAUAAUAUAAAUAAUGAGGCUGACCAUCUCCAUGAACAUGAGAGAAGAGGUUGACCCUAUUUAAAACCAUUUAGAUUUACCCAUCUUUUUGAUGAGCCCUAGUCCUAGAGAUAGUUAAUUUAGACUUAAUAUUCAUUUUUACCCCGAGCUUUGGAUUCUGUAAUCCACUCCCCUCUAGUGGACAAGUAAAUGGACCCAUAAAAAUGGAAGUUGUCUCGUACCUUUGGCAUGAACCAGAAUGAGAAAAUUGUUAAACUCGCGCCAACAAAAUUCGCCAUAUUAUAUUAUUUUUUUGCUAAAUACUAUUCUCCGUUUUGGAUAUAUUAACGUUACUCGUUACUAUAAAUAAGUUUAAUAAUUUAUUGUGAGCAACGUACUAUAGUGAUCACUGAUCAACGUGACAACAUCACAUGCAUGUUAUUCACGCAAAAUUUGAUGAUAUAACAAUAUUUUUGCCAAAUAUGUGAAUUCCAUUGAAAUGGUAAGAGUUUGUAAAAAUCACGCAAAGUUUGAUGAUAUAACAAUAUGUUAUUACGAGUUCACAAUAGUUCAUGUAUAUUAUGUAUACUGUAGUAUUUUUGUUAGAUCGUAAACGUUUUUUUAGCUAAUUAUUACACUCACUUUAUGGUUCUUUACAUGAUGAAAAUCAGUUUUCAAUUAAUGUCGACCAAAAGAAGUAGUAGUGAGUCUAGUAACUACUCGACUUAAUUCGAUAUUAUUCUAAUUUAUAUUUUCGGGUCACACUUGUACAUAUUGCCAACGUCAACGUUUAUAUAUCUUGAGAAAAAGGGUGAAAGAGAAAAGAAAAGGAAACGGAAACGGAAACGGUAGGCGCUAAGGUAAACCCCGUUGAAAAGUUGCUAACUAUUUUUGGUGAAGAAACAAAACGAAGAAAACUAUUCAGUCUCUUUCAUAACGAAAAAAUGAGUUUUUUCCCCUCAAGAAAGCCACAUAUAUUUCCUUUUCUAACCUCUCUCUCUUACACGAUUAUCUGUUAAUGUUGUUAGAUCUAUGGUCUUUUCAAUUCCAGAUCCUAUAGAUCUUCGAUAUUUCCAUUACAACUCAUCUAGGGUUUUGAGCUAGCCGUCAUAAAGAGGAGUCAUCUGCCUCGCGGACACUCUCUUUCUCUCUCUUCCUCCAAUAAAUAAACCACCACCUUCCCUCUCUCACAUCACUAUACCAUAUACUACAAGACUCCUCUAAUUAAUGUGUGUGUUCUCUCCAAGUGGUGAAUACAACUUCAUGAGCGGGUUACAGAUUGGAUCUUUACACUUUUACUCUUUUCCUUUCACGAGGGUUUGACAAAGAGUUUCUUACAGACUUCUUUGGCAUUCUGUCCACCUCCUUCUAUGUAUACAAGUUUAUGUAUAUACAUGGUGUUUGAAAGAGGGAGGUGGUCAUACUGUCAACAGAUAUCUGUUAGGGUUUCUUCGUAAAACCCUCUUGAUAUACCAUAUUUAUCAAUGUUUUGAAUCUGGUGAGCUUGAUCUGUUACUUGGUGAUGACAAGCCUCUAUUUGGCAUGAGUCUUGAAGUCUUUUGAUGUUUCGUCUUCUAGAAAAAGGUAAAAACACUAAGAAAAAGAGAAGGACCCAGAUUUCCGAAAAGGUAACAGAGGUUUUGAUUUACUUUAAGAACAUAGUAAUGGGGGGGAGAAAGGAGAAGCAUCUUGUUUUGAAAGUCCACGACGUUAUUAUGAUGUUCCCUUAUUCUAUUUGAAGUUGAAGAAACAGUUGUAGAGAUUACGUGUACUCCUUCAUUUGGUAUAAUUUUUUUUUUUUGGUAAACAUGUUAAAACAUUUGGUAUAAUUUCUGACCUAUAUAUAUACAAUACAAGUUAUAGCUUGCUUACUUUUAGUUUAUCAUGAGUUGAAAACAUUUAAUAAUUUUCAUGCUUUUACGAUAAGAUUUGUUGUUUGAUCAUAGUUAUGCAUUUAUCAUAUCAUCCCUAGACAAAACACGCAAGUCAUACAUAUACAUUUAUAUUUUUUGAGUAUUCAUCAACCUAUCAUGUUUUGAUGAUAAUUGCAUUGCUGGUUAGUAGACGGAUAUUUUGGGUUUAAUUGGUCCAAGAGUCCAAGUUUAUAGAGAUCUAGUAUAAAGUGAUAUUUUUGGUUUGCUCGAGGGUAUUGAAAAUAUCCACACUUUGGCUUUCAGUGUUCUGAAUGAACUACUUAAAACCAUCUUUAAUGGUUUACUCUAUUUUUUUCUCUAAAAUAGAGUAUGAAUGUUACUCUAAUGGUAUUCUAUUUUACCGUAAAAAAUAAAGUGAUGAACAAAAAAUAAAAAAAUUACUAUAUACAUAGAGUAAAAAAUAAAUUUACACUAUUAUAAAGUAGAAAAUAGAGAACUAUUUGAGUAUUUUUACUUUUUACUCUAAACUUUAUUUUAGAGAGGAAAAUAAAGUGAUGUUGGAGAUGUCCUAACAAAAAAUGUGCGAAAAAACUAAGCUUUCCCAUUAAUUACGAUAAGCUAAACAUAUUCUCAAACCAAAACAUAAUAUUUUUUAUACAUAGGCGAAUGCUAAUUUUGGACAAUGGGUUUGCAUGGAGCUCUCCAAUAUGAGAGACUUGAUUACAAAUUUUCAUGACGGCACUCCCGUUUGCAAGUUUAAUACAUGGGUGGAUUGUAAGGUUCACGUCAAUCAACACUCAUACUCUUCUUACCUUUUUCUAGCACUUUACCAACUCUAGUCUCUAGAUGUUAACUUUUCUGCAAAUAAAAUCUGAUUCUUACAGACUUUUAGUAAUAACAUUUAUCUUUCAUAUUUUCUUGACAUUUUGUAUCUAUGUAUAUAAGAGAAAUGAUUUUGUGUUGACAAUAACGUACAGAAGCUAUAAUAAUGUAUAUAGGAUAUU